CCCCUUCUCAGACCUCAUUUAAGUGUUGGCAGUGGAGGUAAGGGUAUCUUAUAGGAGAUUUCUAUGCACCUGAGGUCUUCCUAAGGAUGUGUACAGCAUGCUCAUUUGUCUGGAACCUCUGAAUUCUUCAUCAACAAGACUGACAGAUAACAGUUCUGACCAGCUUGGCGAGUGCUAUGCAAAAGCUUGUGACUUGUGCUGCUGCUGGAACAUGGGAGGGCCUCUUAUCUGAACAAUUUCUAGAUGGAAUCAGAGGCUGCCAGUAGAGGGUCACGCUUCUGAAGGAAGCAAGUGGUCAAGGGCUGGCUGCUCUGAAGAGCUUAAAAUUUUAGGGUGGACUGGGAAUCCACCUUCCCUGGGCACUCAGGAUCUUUAAGUGUCAGUGGCAAGAAGCGUUUUUGAAGGCUGUGUUUAUACUGGACGCUACACUGCGAUGGGUAAUGUUAUUAUUUUUACUGCAGAUGCCUCUGGGUUGCGGUGUGCAGCUGAGGUUGUUUGGUGUUGUGCAAUUUCAGAGCAAGGAAAUGCUGCCCCUGCUCUGCAGAACUCACAAAUAAGCGUAAGGCAAAACUCAACAGGUGGGAGCAGACAGAGUAACAAAUAAUUGAUUCAAUUUUUGUCUGUGUCCUGAACUAGCAGAUUUGUAAACAGCUGGAGAUCCCAACUUGAUUUUGAGCUACACACAUACAGAGAUCAAAGCCAUAUAUCUGGAGUUUGAUUUAUGAAUUAACAAUAUUCUCAAAAUAGCAGUUAGCUUUGUUUUUAGGCUUUUAGCUGUUCCCAGGAUUUGUGCAAUCCCACUCCCCACCCAUACCUGUCCUCAAACCUCAGCGUGGGGGCUGUUGUUUGAAGCCUGCUGUGUGGGAUGGCAAGUCAGUCGUGCCAGUGAGUCAGCAAAACCUACUUCACACUUCCCUGAAGGUUCAACAGCAGCUCCAGGCAGAGGGUAUUUCAGGCAAGUGCCAUUAGUCUGUUACAAGCUAUACUGGUCUAAAGCAGUUUGUGCAAACAGCAGUACUGUAAAAACUGGUCAUAUGCAGUGUCUGGGAUUUGUAACUUCAGAGGCUGUAGAAAGUCCUGACUCAUCUUCAAAGCACAACUGGAUGAGUGAAUGGACACAAGGAUGUGCAGGUAAUCUGUUGUGUAAACACAUGCAUAAGGUUUUGUGACAGCAUGAAAAAUGAACUUGCUGCAUCUGAACUCCUCAGCUUUGGUAUCAUACUUAGUCAGCUGUUUUCUCUUCCGUGUUCGUUGUGUGCAGACAGGACUCUACCCAAAGCUCCCAGCACGGGGCAGCCUGCCUGCAGUGGCACUGGGACAGAGAAACAAGCAUGGCUUGGGAAGGGGAUGACUGCCAGCUAAAGCCAACAAAACUUGCUACCACCAAAGCCACUUCUAAACUGCAGAAUUCAGAGCUUUUCUCAGUGAAUGACUGAGGCUGGUAGACUAGAUUGCAAAUAAGAUACCUGGUUUCCAGCAGUUCCCAUGCAACGCUGCACUGGCAAAAGAAGAGGGCAGUAGAACUAAGGUGGGCAGAAGCAGGGAGGUGUGCAGGGAAGCCAAAGUGGAGUGAAUUUUGGUACCUGUCAUUGCCACUGAAGGAAAGGUUUCCAUAACUGGAACUUAAACUGAUGUGUGAGAGUGCAGGUCAUCUGCUGCCUUUGCAAUAGGGCAGUGAUAUAGGGAGGGGAAAUGGGAGAGGGAAACAGCAGGGGCCUGUAGUAUCAGCUAAAGCACCAUGGGCUGUGUCCUGCAGUUCUCUGAGCAAGCUGUGUGCAGCACCUAUCACCAAACCAGCCUCGCUUCUCUGCACUGAGCAUUCAGCACUCAGCUGGAAAAUUCUGCAGCACUUUACUAUGGCAAUGGUCAGCUCCAUGACAUGAGGGGUCAGUCCUGGCAGCAGCAUUGUUCAUGUUUUGCCUGUAGCUGUCCUGUAAUAUAAGCCUUCCUAGUGGAAAGGGCUGCCAUAGCCUGUUCUGGUGGUGCUUUGCCACCGCUGUGUUGGGUUGUAUUCACAGCCCUGCUACUACCGAACAGCAGAGACAAUUGGAGAAAAAUGUUCUGUAUGGCAACACGAAGUGUAUAUCUCUUGGCAAACAAUUGUAAUGAGCCUGGCCUGAAUUUUAAAGUAAAGCUAUUAAUUACAUGCCAUUGUGCUAAACAUUGAUGAAUUUCUUUGUGGUGGAAAAUAUGUGCACAUUUCUUCUAGGCAUUAAAGCCUUUUCUCUUUGCUGGUGGUAAUUAAAAAACAAGGAC
rnacentral:lncRNA from 1 species